AUGUGGUGGUCCUUGAUCUAUCUCUCUUGUCUGCUGGCACUGACCAUGACAAGCUUUCCUUCCACCCACUGUCGGAUGACCUGAUUAACCAUAUCAACAGGCAGAGUACAACAUGGCAGGCUGAACACAACUUCUACAAUGUUGACAUAAGCUAUCUGAAGAAGCUGUGUGGUACCAUUCUGGGUGGACCCAAGCUGCCGGAAAGGGUUGGGUUCGGUGAGGAUAUCAAUCUACCUGAAACCUUUGAUACACGGGAACAGUGGUCCUACUGCCCCAUCAUCGAACAGAACCAGGGGUUCUGCUGCUUUCGUUGGGAAUUUGGGGCAGUGGGAGCCAUUUCUGACCAAAUCUGCCUUCACACCAAUGGCCAAGUCAACAUGGAGGUGUCUGCUGAGGACCGGCUUACCCGUUGUGGUAUGCAGUGUGGGGAUGGCUGUAAUGGUGGCUAUCCCUCUGGAACAUGGGCUUUUGGACGAUAAAAGGCCUGGUUUCUGGCAGAGUCUACAAUUCUCAUGAAGGUUGCUUACCAUACACCAUCCCUCCCUGUGAGCAUCAAGUAGAUGGCUCUCAUCUCCUGUGUAUUGGAGAAGGAGAUACUUCCAGAAGCAAUAAGAGCUUUGAGGCUGGCUACUUCCCCAUCCUAUAAAGAAGAUAAGCACUAUGGGUACACUUGCCACCACGUGUUUGAAAGCGAGGAGAUCAUGGCAGAAAUCUAGAAAAAUGGCCCAGUGGAGGGUGCCUUCACUGUGUUUGCUGGCUUUUUGACUUAUAAGUCAGGAGUAUACAAGCAUGAAACUGGUGAUAUGAUGGGUGGCCAUGCCAUCUGCAUUCUAGGCUGGGCAGUAGAGAAUGGAGUUCCCUUCUGGCUGGGAGCCAACUCUUGGAACAUUGACUGGGGUGAUAGUAGCUUCUUUAAAUCCUCAGAGGAGAGAACCACUGUGGGAUUGAAUCAGAAAUUUCCGCUGAAAUCCCACACACUGACCAGUACUGGGGAAGAUUCUAA